UGGCUCUCGCAUCGAUGAAGAACGCAGCGAAAUGCGAUAAGUAAUGUGAAUUGCAGAAUUCAGUGAAUCAUCGAAUCUUUGAACGCACCUUGCGCUCCUUGGUAUUCCGAGGAGCAUGCCUGUUUGAGUGUCAUUAAAUUCUCAACCUUUCCAUUUUGUAACAAAGUGUUGAAAGGCUUGGAUGUGGAGGUUGCUGGCUCUAGUAGUCAGCUCUUCUGAAAUGCAUUAGCGGAGACUUGUAGUCUAUCUCCCUUGGUGUGAUAAUUAUCUACGCCUCGGUUGACUAUGAAAAUGCUUUGCUCUCUAAUCGUCUACUUGUAGACAAUUAUCAAAUCUUGACCUCAAAUCAGGUAGGACUACCCGCUGA
rnacentral:misc_RNA from 1 species